GAUGAACGCUAGCUACAGGCUUAACACAUGCAAGUCGAGGGGCAGCACAGUGUAGCAAUACACGGGUGGCGACCGGCGCACGGGUGCGUAACGCGUAUCCAACCUUCCCGUUACUCUUGGAUAGCCUUCCGAAAGGGAGAUUAAUACAAGAUGGUAUUCAAAUUCCGCAUGUUAUUUGAAUUAAAGAUUUAUCGGUAACGGAUGGGGAUGCGUGACAUUAGAUAGUAGGCGGGGUAACGGCCCACCUAGUCUACGAUGUCUAGGGGUUCUGAGAGGAAGGUCCCCCACACUGGAACUGAGACACGGUCCAGACUCCUACGGGAGGCAGCAGUGAGGAAUAUUGGUCAAUGGUCGGAAGACUGAACCAGCCAAGUGGCGUGAAGGAUGAAGGUUCUAUGGAUUGUAAACUUCUUUUAUACGGGAAUAAAACCUCCCACGUGUGGGAGCUUGUAUGUACCGUAUGAAUAAGCAUCGGCUAACUCCGUGCCAGCCGCCGCCGUAACAC
rnacentral:rRNA from 1 species